CUCUCUUGGCCAGCCAAAGCAAAGAACAAAGAGAAAAGAAUGGAAACAAAUCCUAGAGAGGAAAAUUCAAGAGAAAUUUGUGGAAUUUCAAAGGACAAAGCAAUCAAAGGUAAGAUUUUUCAAUUUUAGCUUAAGAUCUACCUUUCCCAUGCUCUCUUUUUCAUUUUCCAUGGUUGAAACUCAAGAUUUCAUGAAGGAAAGCUUGCUGGCCAAACCUAGGGGGAGAGGUUUUGAUCACAGGUUUUGUUAGAUUUCAUGCUAUAUACGCGUUUUUAGUUGUUUUGUGAUAUUCGAUGUGAAAAACAAGCAUGAAAACCACAUGUUCUUCAUCAAACCCUCCUUGGCUGAAUUUACUAAAGGACAUAUUGAUGAUGAAUCUUGUUAUAUCUCAUGUUAUUU
rnacentral:lncRNA from 1 species